AAAAAAUCUCAUAAUGUCAACGAAGGUCACAUAAUGACCAUAAUUUCUACUGCCGGUAGUGGUCGAGAUCUGGUGAUAACACCUCCUCGGAUCUCGCCCGUCAAAAGCUUAAAAAUCUCUUCUUAAAUCAAAUCCCGUAAAUUAAAAGAAAAACCCAUAAAGAAAACAUGAAGGGUUCGCGCGCUCUCGUUGCCUCUGUUCUUACUGCCUCCACUGUAGCUUUAUCAUUAUCAUCAACAUCAGCCUCAUCUUCUUCCCCUAUGGUUUCUGAGGGUUCAUGAAGAUCGUUAUCAAUGGAGAAAAAUGGUGGGUUUAAGAAGGAGGAAUUUGAGACAAGAUUUGAUGGGUUAAGGUUUAUUGAGACCCUUGUCACGGCUCACAGAUGAUUAUGGAGUUAAUCAUUGAUUAUCGUGGUUAAUUUUGUUACUUGAGGAUUACGACGUGAUUAAAGAGAGAGAGGAGCUUUUUAAAAAAAAAUUGGUAAAAUUGAGUUAUUUGUCAUUUAUGAUUGGUUGUAAUUUGUAAGCAAAACUUCAAGGUCACCUGUUUUCUUUUUUAAUGUUUGUGUUGGAUUUUUAAAUUUGGUUUCUUUCUUACAUUUUAUUUUUGGUAAAAUUGAGUUAUUUGUCAUUUGAUAGAUUUUGUUUUGCUCAUGAGUUGUCAAAUCAUGUGUGGAAAGUAAUAAUGUGAGAAAGAUAAUGGUUGUGGAGUAAUGAUGUGGUGAUAGUUUUGUCAUUGGUUGCUGUUAUGUGGUGUUGCAGGGGUGGUGUAAUUAGUUGUCGUUAGGUGGGGUUUCAAUGAGGUGACAGUUGCAGCAGUGAUGGUGACAGUUGCAGGGGUGGUGUAAUUAGUUGUCCGUAGGUGAUAGUUGCAGCAGUGAUGGUGGUGGUGAAGGAUGAUUGGUUAAAGAAAAUAAAAAACGGUAAUAGGGUUCUGCAAUCAAAAUUCAAAGGGCUUGUGGGUGAAGGCCGAAAGGUUGCAAUGAUGGUGAUGGUUGCAGGGGUGGUGUAAUUAGUUGUUGUCGUUAGGUGGUUGCGGCAGUGAUGAUGAUAGGGAUGGUGGUCAGGUGACGAAGGAUGAUUGGCUAAAGAAAAGAAAAAUGGUAAUGGGGUUCUGCAAUCGAAGGGCUUGUGUGUGAAGGCCUAAAGUUUCGUUUUAUCUCUACAACCGCGCAAAUGGAAUCAAUUCCUUCAACUGUCCUGUUCAGGGCACAAAUCUUGUAAGGUAAAUUAUUUUUUGAAAAAUAAAUGUGGAAAAAGUGAAUUAUUUUUUAA